GACGGAGGAUGCAAGUGUUAUCCGGAAUCACUGGGCGUAAAGCGUCUGUAGGUGGUUUAAUAAGUCAACUGUUAAAUCUUGAGGCUCAACCUCAAAAUCGCAGUCGAAACUAUUAGGCUAGAGUAUAGUAGGAGUAAAGGGAAUUUCCAGUGGAGCGGUGAAAUGCGUAGAGAUUGGAAAGAACACCGAUGGCGAAGGCACUUUACUGGGCUAUUACUAACACUCAGAGACGAAAGCUAGGGUAGCAAAUGGG
rnacentral:rRNA from 1 species